CACGAUCGCCGGAACUUUUACAACAUUUUAAAGCAGUUUCAGCUCAAAAUGGACCCGUAAGUGUCGUUAGUAAUUUAGGAUUUCAAUGUGGUUACGAUUCGUGUCACCGUAUGAGGCAGAUACAUAUUUACACAUGAUGCUAAAGGGUGCUUAUGCUAACAAUCCCUAUGAAACUAAAAGUUAAACUUGUGAAAAUGCGAGAGAGGUUUAAGAACACAGACAAGUCAUAUAUUGUAAAAAUCGCAAUAUAUAUUAUUUAUCUUUUUUCAUGCCGUUUUGAAGAAUUAUUCCAGUUACGUUUACCCCAAUGGAGUGUUUUUGUAUUGCUGUAAUGACAAAUCUGACCAGACGCGACUGAAUAUGUGUGACGGAUACGUUAGUGAUGAAAUGGUAGCUGUUAACUUAUGAUGACUCGUAUGACCAAACACAGAAACAUCCCUUUGUUAGCUCAAUGUCACACAAUGGCAUCAACAAGCCUUUGUUAUAAGCAAAGUUACUGUUAAGAAACUUUAAAAGUAUAAACGGGCUUUGCCAAUCCUGUUUGUUUGCACUUUUAAAGAAGGUUUCACUUAUUUAGGGCAAAUACAUUUAAACAAUUACAGUGUUGUUUGGAUUGUAGCAUUGAAUAUUGUGAUGCAUAUUGUUGAGUGGUAUUUGGUUUGUAAUAUCGUUAUACCCUUUAUUAAUUUUUUUUUUAUUUCAGACUAUCAGUUUGUGAGCUGAUAUGCAGUGGAAAUUGACAUCCAGAAGGAAGUCAUAAAGGAAACACCAGCUGAUAUAAGUGCUGCAGAGGAUCUUUGCAGAAUUCACUCUAAUAUUAGGAAGAAAUUUAAGAUCAGAGUUCAACGCUGCAUUGGACACACUGCUCGUUUGAAAUUUUCAAAAAGAGGAGGAAAUUGCAGAAGAAAACUAGAUGAGAUUUUGCAACAAGUUUAUUCAAAGUCAUCUGAUGUAAUGCUUGUCCGCACAUCAGUUCUUCCGGGUCUUUCAGUCCUUUUGAGGGAUGAGUCUAAAGAUUUUUUCUGGAUGUGUUUUGAUGUGGAUGUAGAGUCUGACUUCAGUGCAGUAGAUGUUGGCCUGCUGAUUGUCUUGUGUGAAGAUGUCUAAAGGACCUCAAUGUAGAUGCAAUGUGGGCCAUUAUACUGGAAGGAAAAGUGGUUAUGGAUGAUGUCCCUACUUUGCCACACGCAGUAUGUCUGCUUUUUUGCUUUGAUAUACGCACUGAAUUCGGACUACCCAAAGACUACAAGCAACGUAUUUACUCAACGUGUGUUGCUUUAGCUGGGAGGGAAGCUUAAUGUGUUUUUUUUUUUCUGCGAGUGCCUAUAUGCUGCUGUGUUUAAUGUUUAAAGGUUCUGUUAAAGGAUUUACAAACAGUUAAAAAACAUUGUUUUGCUUGUUUGCUUUUGCCAUGUUGCUGUUUGCAGUGUUACAUUUUAGAAUUGCAGCAUUUUGGUGUUUAAAACACAUUUUUUACCUAAAAAAAUGUAAUGUGAUUCAUAGGAUUGUCAAAAGUAUUGAGUUUGGUACCAAUCGGUACUGAAAUUAAAAAAAAAAAAGAAAGUGUCGAUUUCCCACUAACAUUGCAAGAACUGAUUGGCCAUUGUGUUCACAUGCUCAACAGAUAUGACUGAUUGGCUAUGAAGUUCAUUGUUUUUACCAUUCUUCACCAGGUGCAAAGAUACAAAGACACUGGAUUAUUUCAAAGCACUGUCGAUUAGUCGAUCCAUCAGCAGAUAGCUCAUAUGUCGCCAGCUUAUAGACAGAUCAGCUGAUCGACAUGGCUUUGAAAUGCUUCAGUGUCUGUGUAACUUUGUUUGGACUGUGCAUGUGAACACAGUGGCCAAUCAGCGGUGUUUAAGAACAAGCUCAGUAGCGCUCAAAUAUUGGUGGGAAAUGGAUGUUUUUAAUAUUUCAGUAUUGAUUUAUACCAAAAUUCAGUACUGGUACCAAACUCAAUUCUUUUGACAAUACUAAUGUGAUAUUUUCUGUAGGAAAAUCUAAACUUCACAGUCUAAAAAAAUCAGCUUUAAAGCUAAACAUCUGUUCCUCUGUGAGUGUCUAUUUGCUGCCAUGUUUAAAGGUGCUGGUGCAAUGGCAUGUUUAAUUACACUAAUUUAAGUUUCUUCCCCCCCCCCCCAAGUAUUUUAGAUAGAGAUAUAUAGAUAGAAUUUCAAACAUUUUAGUAAGCUUGGGGGUUGUACUUUUUUUUUAAAUUAUAUUUUUGUCUGCAUUGCUGUUACAGCACUUUAGUGCUCUUUAGAACAGAUUUUUACAAAAAUGUAUUGUGUACAAGUGUUUUGUCAUGCUAAAAUAUCCUGUUUAUUGUGAA